rnacentral:rRNA from 1 species
UCUGGUUGAUCCUGCCAGUAGUCAUAUGCUUGUCUCAAAGAUUAAGCCAUGCAUGUCUAAGUAUAAGCAAUUUAUACAGUGAAACUGCGAAUGGCUCAUUAAAUCAGUUAUCGUUUAUUUGAUAGUUCCUUUACUACAUGGUAUAACUGUGGUAAUUCUAGAGCUAAUACAUGCUUAAAAUCCCGACCUUUUGGAAGGGAUGUAUUUAUUAGAUAAAAAAUCAAUGUCUUCGGACUCUUUGAUGAUUCAUAAUAACUUUUCGAAUCGCAUGGCCUUGUGCCGGCGAUGGUUCAUUCAAAUUUCUGCCCUAUCAACUUUCGAUGGUAGGAUAGUGGCCUACCAUGGUUUCAACGGGUAACGGGGAAUAAGGGUUCGAUUCCGGAGAGGGAGCCUGAGAAACGGCUACCACAUCCAAGGAAGGCAGCAGGCGCGCAAAUUACCCAAUCCUAAUACAGGGAGGUAGUGACAAUAAAUACGAUACAGGGCCCUUUCGGGUCUUGUAAUUGGAAUGAGUACAAUGUAAAUACCUUAACGAGGAACAAUUGGAGGGCAAGUCUGGUGCCAGCAGCCGCGGUAAUUCCAGCUCCAAUAGCGUAUAUUAAAGUUGUUGCAGUUAAAAAGCUCGUAGUUGAACUUUGGGCCUGGUUGGCCGGUCUGGCUUUUUGCCACGUACUGGAAUGCAACCGGGCCUUUCCUUCUGGCUAACCUUAGGCUCCUUGUGGGUCUUUGGCGAACCAGGACUUUUACUUUGAAAAAAUUAGAGUGUUCAAAGCAGGCGUAUUGCUCGAAUAUAUUAGCAUGGAAUAAUGGAAUAGGACGUUUGGUUCUAUUUUGUUGGUUUCUAGGACCAUCGUAAAUGAUUAAUAGGGACGGUCGGGGGCAUCAGUAUUCAAUUGUCAGAGGUGAAAUUCUUGGAUUUAUUGAAGACUAACUACUGCGAAAGCAUUU